UAAGAGGGGGGUUGGGUCAGAGGCGUCGGGUCGGGGUGAUGGGCACAUUUUACCAAAUCAAAAUCCGAGAGAGAGAGAGAGAGGUUGAGCAAAACGUGUCCCCGAUUUCACAACCACCGCAAAACGCUCUGGUGCUUCUAGCUGGUCCUCUGUUCCUCUGGAAAGCCCACAAACCAGCACAAAUAUAGAGUGGUGCAGUUACUACUUCUAGGGUUUCCCACCGCCGAUCAUUUUCUUCUUCUUCGCCUUCGUCUUGUUGCCGCCGGUGGGGGAGUGAUGGAUAGGUACCAGAGGGUGGAGAAGCCGAGGCCCGAAGAACCCAUAAACGAGAACGAGAUCAGAGUCACGGCGCAAGGUCUCAUUCGCAACUACAUUGGCUAUGCCACCACUCUUCUUCAGGAUAAACAGGCUGGGGAGAUUGUCUUGAAGGCAAUGGGACAGGCAAUCAGUAAGACUGUGACCAUUGCAGAAAUAAUAAAGACGAGAGUCCCUGGGUUGUAUCAAGAAACUUCUAUCAGCUCAACAAGGAUAACUGAUGUAUGGGAACCUAUUGAAGAAGGACUUGAAAUGUUGGAGAUUAAUCGUCAGGUUUCUCUGAUUACAAUUACUUUGUCAACUACUGAACUGGACAAGAAUUCUCCAGGGUUUCAAGCUCCAUUUGAUGUGGAGCAGCCAAAUGCACAGCGGGAGUAUCAACAGCAGCAGCACCCCAUGCAAGCACAACCUCCAAUCAUUAGCGCUGAAAUGGUGAGCACGACCUUCAUCUGGGGAAAGAAUAAGCGGAGGCCCGCGGAGGGUGAGGGUGCCACCGCCCCUAAGGGGAAAGCUGCCUUCGACCCCUCCCUCACCGGGGAGGGGGAGUCUAGCCGUCUUUCUAGGAGGAAGAAGACUUCUCAACCCUUGAGAUAACUAACUCAAGCAUCCAAUUCUCUCCCAUAUUGCCCAGAUCACGUUCCUAAUUGGGGAGUGAAGGAAAGUGAUCUUAGUCGAAACACCCAGGUAGCAAAACAAAUGAUUCACCACUUCGCAACUCCUGCAGACCGUCAAGUACUGGCUAAACAUUCCUCAGAGGUGGUGGAGGCCGCCUUGUGUAAGCAUCUAGCCCAGGUGGUCACGCUUGUCUCGGACUUCUCCGAACGCUUCGCCCAGACUUCUAAGAAGACCCUUGAAUUAGACACCCAAUUGCAUGAGAUGGGCGAGUUAGUAGAGAGUCAAAGGAAGGACCUGGAAGAGUUGACCUCUGAGCGGCAGUCUUUGCGCCAACGCAUUCAGGAGCUCGAGGAGGAGCUAUUUUGGGCGAACUCCCUCAAUCGUAGAUACGAACGCAAGUAUACUGAGCCCACCAAACUUCUUGAGGUGGAGGAGUUCAUCCAGCAGAACCUGCAGGAGGCUUGGAGGAAAGGAUUCCAAGCCCAUGCUAUCGAGGUUUUACGACCUCAUCCGGAGUUGGACAUGUCCACUGUUUGAUCUGUUGAAGAAAUUGUGGCCGAGCUGGAGGAGGACUCGGAGAUGGCGGACGGCGAAGACGUUUCUCCUAGCGCUUGAGUUUUCUUCCUUAUUUUCUAGCUAGAACUUUUUGUGCUUCUUCCGACGUCAUGUAUUAGACUAUUCGCUUUUAUAUAAAUGCUAUUCUACUUUUACUCUUCAAUUCUUGAUUGAAAAUAUAUGAGCUAAGACUAAUUGAACCCUGAACCUUUGCACCAUAGAAGGGGAUUAAUUUAGCCCUUAGUCCUCCUUUAGUUGCUAGACUGAAGGGGAUGACCUAGGGCUCUCGACCCUUAGAUUUUAGCCAUUCCCUCGCGGAGGAGGGUGUUGGUCUCUGAGUUUUUUUCGGUCGUUAGUCUACCUUCGACUUGGAGACGGCUUAGGCUUCCUGACCCUUGGAUUUUAGCCACUCUCUCGCGGAGGAGGGUGUUGGGCUCUGAUUUUUUUUUCCUGGCCAUUAGUCCCCCUUCGACUUGGGGACGAUCUUGGGCUCAUGACCCUCGGAUUUUAGCUAUUCCCUCACAGAGGAGGUUGUUAGGCUUUGAUUUUUUUUUUUUUUUUCUGGCCAUUAGUCGUAAAAAAGAGUACAAAAAGGUUCGAGGCAUUUCCCUUCUUAUUGAUAAAAUUUCCUCAAGUUUCGCACAUUCUAGGUAUGCUUUAAGGGCUUGUCUUCCAUAUCUUCUAAUCGAUAUGCCCUUGGACUUAGGGAUUCCAACACUCGGUAUGGUCUUUCCCAAUUCGGGAUUAACUUAUUCGCGUCUCAAGGAUGACUCACGUCAAACCGUCGUAGCACAAGAUCUCCUAGCAUGAAACUUCUGAUGUGCACUCGUCGAUUGUAGUACCUAGCAAUACGCUAGUUAUACGCAGCUUGAUGAAUCCGUGCCAAAUCUCGGAGCUCAUCCAUCAGGUUCAAGUUGCACCUUAACCCUUGCUCGUUCACCUCAGGAUUGAAAUGCUCUACUCGAUAGCUAGUCACCCCUAUCUUAAUAGGAAUAAGAGCUUCUGAGCUAUAACACAGUGUAAAAGGGGAUUCUCUUGUAGUUGUUUAUGGUGUUGUUUGAUAGGACCAUAGUAUGUUGGGGAGCUCAUCUACCCAUUGGCCAUCCACUUUCUCAACCUGAGCUCGGAGUCCCUGAAGAAUGGUCAUGUUUGUCAGCUCUACGUGCCCAUUAGCUUGAGGAUGGGCAAUCAAGGUAAAAUGUUGCCUAAUCCCCAACUUGUGGCACUAUUCCUGCAUUGACUGGUCCUUGAAUUGGGUGCCAUUAUUUGUUAUUAACACCCUGGGAAUACCAAACCGACAGACGAUGGAUUUCCAGAGGAAUUGCUUUACCUUUCAGCUAGUGAUACUUGCCACAGGCUCGGCCUCCACCCAUUUAGUAAAGUAAUCAAUAGGGGUGUGCAAAAAAUCGGGUAAACCGAUUUAACCGAAUCGAACCGACCAAUUCGGUCGGUUUAGUUCGGUUGAUCAUAAUGAUCGGUUUGGUUUCGAUUAUUAUUUAGCAAAAAAUUGGUUAUUCGGUUCGGUUUGGUUAUUUUGGUAAAAAUAAUUGAAAACCGAACCGAACCAUGGUGGAAUAAACCCCCUCGAACCGAACCGUGACCCUCCUUCACGUGGGCGCGGCACCCCAAAUCGCCCUUUACCAUCCCUUUGUCCUUCUCUCCUUCCCUCUUCGUCCUUCUCUCUCUCUCGCCAUUUCAUUUUCAUCCCAGAUCUCCCUCCAUCCCUUGCCGUUGCUGAUGGCGAAGAUGAAGACAAAGGCUCUUCGACUUCGAGGCUUCAUAGAUCAGAGAGAAGACUGAGAAAAUCCAGAAGGUGGAAGGACCGAAUCAAUCCUUGGUCCUUUCGUUUGCUCGACCCCCAUUGUCUCCGACUCUUCGGCGACACCAUCGCCCUCUUUGAUGUCGUCAUCAAUGUCGAUGCGAUGUUUCCUCUCUACCUUCGACGUCGACUGUUGUUUUUGUCGAAGCAACCACCUUCGACGCUUUCACUCUAACGUCGACGCCGACUUGGACCUCCGACACAUCAACGUCGACUUCAACGCCUAUGACAAGUGCAUCUCUCUCUCCUUCGAUUUGGACCACCGUGCUCGCCCUUCGGUAAGUUUCCAAAAACGUGUUAAGAGUUUUUUAACUAUAGAAUUAAUUUUUGGAUAUAUGAAUCACCGUGAUUGGGGGAAUCCAAUGAUCGAUUCUGAUCAUUGGAAUCACCGGCCUGCCAGGUGGCCGACAACAAUAGAUGUUCAGUCUCUUUGGUAUUCUAGGUUAGUUUGAUUUUUGGUUCAGUUCGGUUACCAUGAUUUAGUUUUCGGUUAGUUCGGUUUCGGUUAGUUUGGUUAGUGGGGUUGGUCGGUUCGGUUCGGUUUGGUUAUUAUAUGCUGGUCGGUUUGGUUUGAUUAAUAAUUUUUAGACGGUUCAGUUCAGUUCAGUUAUAACCGAUUGCACGUCCCUAGUAGUCAAUAGCUACUAUCAAGUAUCUGUUCUGUCCGGCUGUUAGCAGGAAGGGUUCGAGGAUAUCGACUCUCCACCAGGCGAAUGGAUAAGGCGACGCUAGGUGGGUAAGUUCAACCACCGGGGUGUGAACCAAGUUUGAAGUCCUUUGGCAUCUUUCACAAGUUCGAACUAGCUGCACAGCAUCGCUCAUCAUCGUCGGCCAGUAGUACCCUUGCCGAAGUGCUUUUUGAGAAAGAGACUGGGCUCCAAUAUGACUGUCACAAAUCCCCUCGUGGAUCUCCCUCAGGAUGUAGUCGGCCUCAGUGGGUCCAACACACCUCAACAGUGGCUGGGUGAAGGACUUCUUGUAGAGGUCCAGGCUAACGAGUAAGAACUUGGUAGCCUGGCGCUUGAGUUUCUGGCUCUCUUGUUCCUUCUCUGGUAGCUAUCCCUUAAUUAGAUGUGCUAUGAUAGGAUCCAUCCAACUUUCUCCCCUAUCCAAGCAAAGCUGUUCUGCUUCUAUCUCUAUGCUCCUCUAGGGAAGUGACUCCAUGUAGACAGCCCGAGAAUUCCUGGGGAAGGAAGAAGCAACUAUUCUUGAGAGAGCAUCUACCACGACAUUCUGUGCUUGAGGGACAUGGUUGAUUUUCACCACCCAAAAAUGUGCCAUAAGAUCCUUGGCCAUCGCCAAGUACUAGGCCAUAACUUCCUCUCGGGCCUUGAACUCUCCUAUUACCUGUUGUAUAAUCAAAUUAGAGUCAGAAUAUACCUCCAGAUCCUUGACUCCUAUCUGCUCUGCUAGUUUGAGUCUAGCAAUGAGCGCCUCGUACUCAGCCUCAUUAUUAGAGGCAUUGAACUCAAAGUGGAAGGCAUACGGCCAAGCCUGGCCAUCGGGGCCCUAGAGCAGUAAUCCAGCGCUGCUGCCCCCGAUGCUUGAACUUCCAUCCAUAGAGAGAGUCCAGGUCUGGGAAACCCCAUUGACUUCUUCCUCUGGUAGAGUGCCUUCAACUAUAAAGUCCUCCAUAAGCUGUGCCUUGAUGGCUGGUCGAGGGCGAUAGUUGAUGUUGAAAGCGCUUAGCUCUACCGCCCAUUUGAGUAUCCUCCCAGGCAAGUCUGGCUUUCCCAACACAUGCCGUAAAGGAUGACUAGACAAGACGAUAAUGUGAUGUGCCUCGAAGUAGGGUCUUAGCUUUCGAGUAGAGAUAAUUAGGGCAUAAGCCAACUUCUCUGUCGGAGUGUAGCGAGUCUCGGCCUUGGCCAACCUUUUGCUCACAUAAUAAACUGGUUUCUGAACUUUGUCCUCCUCUCACACCAGAACCGAACUGACAGCUUCGUUUGAAGCAGCCAGAUAGAUAUAUAGUGACUCCCCUGGCUGUGGCUUAGCUAGGACCGAGGAGGGGGGGGGGGGGAGAGAUUAGAUACCGUUUUAGCUGCUCAAACACCUCCUGGCAUUCUUCUGUCCAUGCGAAAUUCUAGACUUGAGUCAAUGCCUUAAAGAAUGGCCAUCCCUUCUCUGCAGACCUUUAGAAGAAUCUCCCCAAUGCCCCAUCCUUCUAGUUAAUCUUUGCACCUCCUUAAUACUCUGAGGAGGAAGCUGUCAUGAACCUAGGGUUCAUAACAAGGUUGGAAUUGGCGUUCGGAAGGAUCUGAGAGGCUUAGGAUUAAGAACAGAAUAUUUAGAGGGGAAUUUGGACAGAAAUGGGGGAGAAAGUAGAGAGAAUUGAGGGAGAGCAACAGAGAGAAAUGAGAGGGAGAUUUGAGAGAAUUCUUAGAGAGAGAAUGAGAGUUUCAUUAAUCAAUUCAAGCAUGAUGAUCUCCUCUUACAAUGGGCAUUUUUAUAGGCAUAGCUAGUUCCUUAACUAAUUUCUAACAACACUCAUGUGCUCCUAACAAAUAAUCAAAUAUAUCUUAACAAACUAAUAUAAGUCUAUUACAAUAUUACCCCUUUAUUAUAUCCCCAUUGUAAUAUUACCCUUCUAAUCCUCCUAGGGACAUGACAGAAGCAUCUCUAGGAUGGCUUUUAUCUUCGAGGGGUUGGCCUCAAUUCUCUAGUAGUGCACCAUGAACCCUAAGAACUUACUAGCCGUAACCCCAAAAGCAUGCUUGGUUGGGUUGAGCUUCAUCUGAUACUAGCGCGAGGUCCGAAAGCACUCCUCCAAGUCGUCUGGAUGUUGCUCAACCAAGAGACUCUUGACCAACAUAUCAUCCACAUAAGCCUCCAUAUUCCGAUCGAGCUGAGUUUUGAACAAUUUGUUGACUAACCUCUGAUACGUAGCUCCGGCAUUCUUAAGCCCGAAAGGCAUAACCCGGUAACAAAAUGUGACCUUGUCUGUGAUGAAGGCAGUCUUGUUAUACCUAGGGACACUGGCAGUCACUAGAUCCCACAAGAAAACCAAUCAAGACACUUAGAUGAGAAUGUUUAGGCAAGAACAAUCCUCUCACACUCUCACAAACCCUCUCGGAUUUAUUUGCCAAUCACACAACAGAAAUUUAUAUGAAACAGAAACAAUAAAAACGGAAUUGAAAAACAUAACAGAAAUGCAAACCAAUAAGAAGAACAAACAGAUUAUCCCGGUUCAGAUUGUAGUGAUUGCAACCCUACAUCCAGCUUUCAAACACCCACCAAGAGCAACCUUCUUUACCAAGAAUGAUCAGUACAACAGGUUGAGUAAUUUCUUCUAUUCCCGAGUACAUCCAACACUCAUUCUCUUAGAUUACAAAAGCUGUCUUGCUCACCAGCCUCUCUCUAAAUGAAUGUCCGCUCGGUACAAUAGAAUGAGAAAUCUACCUCUCUUGCUACCCCUUGCCCUUUAUUUAUAAUAGUGGGCAGAUAUCCCAAUGAAGAUUAUUAGAUAUUUAUAGUUUUAACCCCUCAACUAUCACCAAUUACAUAUUGGAAAAUAAACUUCUAUUUAAUACUUCAUUGGCCCUCAAAAUACACUGCUUUCACUGAUCUUCUUAUCCUAUAUUCUAGACAACUUUUAACAAUUCUCCACCAUUGUCUUGAGUAUACUUCAACCUUCAUCCAUCAAAGCCUUGGCCUUCCAAUAGAUGAACUUGACCUGCUCUCAUAGGUUCUUCCUGUUGCACCUGAUCACUCAAACACAAAACAAACAUUAAGAAUACCAAAUCAAUCCUGUAAAUUUCAACAAUGGACACCUUGGAUCAUACUUCCAGCUGUAUAACCUAUACAUGCAACUUUAAUUAGGAUUGAUUCCUCCUUCUCAAGGAUUUCCCUAAUGAAUAUCUUUCCUAACAUUAAUAUGAUUGGUCUCUCUAUGGUGGGACUGAAUCUAAGCCAAGUGGACUGCCCAUUGGCUGUUUCAACGCCUCUUACCUAGACUUUUCUUUAGGGUUCCUGCUGCAUACAAAAUGCAAUAUAUAUACCCUAAAUUCAUAACUAUUCAUGUAGGCACACUCCACCAUAAACCAAAUCCAUACUCAAUGUUAUUCUUUAAUCUCAAAGGUUCCAUCUUUUUACACAGCAUCACAACACAAUGAACCUCACCCGGAUUGGCCUUUCCACUGCUAGACUUUAUUCCUAGCUCCCCAAAACCGACUUUUUAGGCUUUACCACUGUUCUUCCCUUCUUAUGUUUGCUUCAAACUCAAAGGGCUGCUCAUUUCUCUUGUGCCUCUUCUAUCUUCCAGCCUGUUAAGAUAUGCUUGAGUUUGGGUAAUCCUAGGUUUUCAUAAGCUGUCCAAUUCCUAUUUCAACCUCUAUGCCUUAGAAUUUCCAACUUCUCCUUUAUCCUACACUCUCAAACACUGACCUAAGUUCUCAGCUACACCUUGAGAGUCCUCAUGGACAAAUUUCCAGAGAAGUUUCCUUACAUUUCACUAGGCAUACCAUUGGAAUACUCACAGCUUCCUCAUGCACUCAAUUUUAACCCUUGGACUUAUUCUAAAGGGAUCUGAUUCCUUAUACCUUCACCUUGGGAAUUACUAUCAUUCCUAGAGAGACCUUCUAAGCAAUCAACCUUGCUUACCUUUCCCUCUAGCCUCUAUUCCCUUGGGCUACUCUAUAAGAUCAAUUUUCCCUUAAUUUUCACAUGGAUAAUGGCUGUUAGAGAUACCUAUUCGACCCAAAUUAAGCCUUCAUGUGAUGCUUUAACCAAUGG